UACGUAGGGUGCAAGCGUUGUUCGGAAUUACUGGGUGUAAAGCGCGCGUAGGCGGGUUUGAAAGUCGAUUGUGAAAUCCCUAGGCUUAACCUGGGAAUUGCAGUCGAAACUCCAAAUCUUGAAUGUCUGAGAGGAUGGCGGAAUUCCCGGUGUAGUAGUGAAAUACGUAGAUAUCGGGAAGAACACCUGAGGCGAAGGCGGCUAUCUGGCGGUACAUUGACGCUAAGGCGCGAAAGCGUGGGGAGCAAACAGG
rnacentral:rRNA from 1 species